rnacentral:rRNA from 1 species
CCCACUGUCCCUAUCUACUAUCUAGCGAAACCACUGCCAAGGGAACGGGCUUGGAAAAAUCAGCGGGGAAAGAAGACCCUGUUGAGCUUGACUCUAGUCUGGCACUGUAAGGAGACAUGAGAGGUGUAGCAUAAGUGGGAGACCGGGGUAACUCGUGUCGCCGGUGAAAUACCACUACUUUCAUCGUUUCUUUACUUACUCGGUUGGGCGGAGGGCGUCCGUCGUCUGCCUCACGGCACGGCGGUACGGUCUUCUCGCACCAAUCGUUCAAGGGUUGCCGGCGGCCGGUGUCGGGCGGGGCGUGCGUCGGUGAGUCGCGUGUACCGGGCCUUCGGGUUCCGGGCCGCGGCCCGGCAGCGUCUGCGGCCUGCGCCGGUACCGACCGGCAAACACUCCCUAGCGUGAUCCGAUCCGAGGACACUGCCAGGCGGGGAGUUUGACUGGGGCGGUACAUCUGUCAAAGAAUAACGCAGGUGUCCUAAGGCCAGCUCAGCGAGGACAGAAACCUCGCGUAGAGCAAAAGGGCAAAUGCUGGCUUGAUCCCGAUGUUCAGUACGCAUAGGGACUGCGAAAGCACGGCCUAUCGAUCCUUUUGGCUUGAAGAGUUUUCAGCAAGAGGUGUCAGAAAAGUUACCACAGGGAUAA